CAGCGGGGCGGCAGCGGCGGCGCGGCGGCGAGGCGGAGUGCGGCGGGCCCCGCUCCGCGGCGUGCGCCGGCAACCAUGAACUUUCUGCUCACUUGGAUCCACUGGGGGCUGGCGGCGCUGCUCUAUCUGCAGAGCGCGGAGUUGUCGAAGGCUGCUCCGGCCCUGGGGGAUGGGGAGCGGAAGCCCAAUGAAGUUAUCAAAUUCCUGGAAGUCUACGAGCGCAGCUUCUGCAGGACAAUUGAGACCCUGGUGGACAUUUUCCAGGAGUACCCUGAUGAGGUGGAGUACAUAUUCAGGCCAUCCUGUGUGCCUCUGAUGAGAUGUGCGGGUUGCUGCGGCGAUGAGGGCCUAGAAUGUGUCCCUGUGGAUGUGUACAACGUCACGAUGGAGAUCGCGAGAAUUAAACCCCAUCAGAGUCAGCACAUAGCGCACAUGAGCUUCUUACAGCACAGUAAAUGUGACUGCAGACCAAAGAAAGAUGUCAAAAAUAAACAAGAAAAGUGGGCACAGAAACCCAGAUCUGAUGGUCCUACCUACAUACCCCAGACCUGGAGCUUGCAUGACCCACAGCCAUGGCAGUCAUUCCUAAUGCUUUACCCUGAGUCAGGGAAGUCCCGUCGUGUGUGUCCUACCAGAAUGGAUUCAAGGUGCAGCCCCCAUUCUCCCUUGCCUCCUCCUGGGGUGUUUCUGGUUACUGCAUAUCGCUGCCUUUCUUCAUUAUUAAUUUUUUUUCUUGCUGCUUGAGUGAGAACUUGCUCGCUUCUUUCACAGCAGCUUGGGUUGGAGCUCUGCUGGCUACAGGGAGAGGUGGCAGUGGAGGCUUGGUGGAGGCAGGACUGAUGCCAUGCACGAUGUGAUGCUGGUUUUGGUUGGGUGGGGGCCUGGGAGGAUGUAAAGGAUGUGGAGGUCCUGGUGGAGGCUUUCAAGAGAGUUUUCUUGAGCUGAUGGAUUUGCUCUGGUGACCUGAAGAAGGUUAAGGCACAACCUUCCCUUUCCUUCCUUCCCAAAGUAAAAAGGUUGUGGAAAGGAGAUAAAAAAAAGCUCUCGUCCUGCAGUAGUUGCAGGGACGAUCACAAAACGUGGAACAACAUGGACAAAAAGUGACCUCUCUGGACAAGAGGGUCAGCCGGACUGCGCAUGGCUGGGAUAGUGACUCUGCCAUAUAGAGGUGCGGAGUUGGAGAGGAAAGGGGUAAAUACUGGGAGAUGAGGCUGAAACAGAGAGCAAGUGGAAGAGUGAGAGAGAACGUCUUUCACCCCUUUCCUGGUGGUUGUGGAUUUCUAGCUGCCUUCCAGUCCCUCUUCUUCCCCCUGGAAAGCUGCUCGUGGCUGCAUCAGGCUCUGUGCAGCCAAAGCUCCCCUCUGUGCAGGACCGUGUUGGGGAUGGUCAUCUGCGUGGCUCUGUGGUUUGAAGGUGUGCAAGUUGGGUCUGUGUGAGCUCUGGUGAGGAUGGGGUGUGGGUGAAGCAGCCAGCCCAGACUGCGUUGCAUUCCCUUUCCUCUUCUAACAGCACCUUGCCUGCUCUUUGCUGGUUCUGCACUCCCUGGGGAAGGAAGGGAAGGGAUGGGAGAGAUCGGUAUGCUUUGAUUUGUUCUGAUUUGAAAGUCCCGUUAUAUAUCUCCAUCUUCAGAUUGAUUUUCUUCUUCCUCACCACCUCCCUGUGCCUCCUGACAUGUAGGGCAGCAGCUGGGAGUGAGCUGAUGCUCUGAUACACAUUCCAUCAAGAAGACUGGAGCAGGCCUAAGAAACACCUGUGGUGUUGCUUUCUGUCCCCCUGCUCCACCUCAACAGCUCCCUCCCAGGAUGUGCUGCCCCCAGGCAGAGUGGGGAAGGAGGGAGGCUGCUGAGCUGCUGUGGGGCUCAUAAGUCUGACAAACCCUGGUGCUUGUCCCAAGGCCUUCUCACAUGCCUGUCCUUUGUUGCUAUGCUGAUAUAGCUUGAGGAGCAAUGCAGGCUCCAGCCUCCCCUUCUCUGUGCUCUCAGUGGGCUGCAGAGAUCCAUGAUUAGUGUCCAUGCCUGCAUGUUCCAGCCCUUGCCUGUCUCAGCUCCUGCCCAAAAAUCAGAAGCAGCAGGUGAAUCUUUAAGAGAGUGCUUUGGCUCCGUCCGUUUGUCUGUCUGUCAGAUCUAUGUGGAAAGCAAAGGGAAGGGCUGGAUGGAGGAGGAAAGAAAGGAAAAUCUGAAAGCUGCUUGCAGUUUUCAUCUCCUGUGUGUCCCGACUGGGCUAGACCUUCCUGUUCAUCCUCUGUUGCUCAUCACAGAGGAUGCUGGAGGGUGCGUGAGCAAAAAGAGAGGUCUUCCUGAGUCCACUGAGCCACAGGCACUGGUAGGGUGGGUGAGCAGAGCUUUCAGGCUGCAGUCCCCCGCUCCCAUGCAGCAGCACUGCUCAGAACAGGCCUCAAUCCUUGUCCCCAGCGUACUGAGCCCAGGGCCCCAUCGCUCCCAUCCCGUGGCAGGAUGAUUGCCAUCCCUGCAGUGGGGCUGCUGGGUGUCCCUUCCUCACCAUCAGAUCACGGUGGUCUCUUUUUCUCCAUGUCAGCCAGCGUAAACCUGAGCUUGUCACCAGAGCUGGUUGUCUGCGCUCGCUGCAGUUGUGUGAUGCUUUCACCAGGCUUCCUGAUCCCUUCCCCUCUCCACUGCCCCUCUCCAGGGGUGCGGGUAACCCUCAGAGGCCCGUGGAUGCCGGAGCCUCACGUGGAGGUGGCCUCUGCACUCUGUGUUCCUGGCGCUGGCUUGGCUGCGGGCAGGCUGGUGGCGGUGCUGCAAGAGGGCCAGUGAGUGUGUGUGCGAGGUGGAGGUCUGUGCUUCACUCCAGGACUUGCCCUCCAAUCCUGCCUCAUGUGCUUUCCCCUCCCAGCAAGGCACAUGGCUGUGUUUUUUCUCUCUUCUUCCUUGCGUUUUCUUCUGUUUUCUCUCUUGCUCUCCCUCUCUCUUUCCUGCUCUCUCUCUCUUUCUCUGUUUUUUUUUGUUUUGUUUUUCUUCCAGAAAAUCAAAGCGAGGAAAGGGGAAGGGUCAAAAGAGAAAGCGCAAGAAAGGCCGGUACAAACCACCCAGCUUAUGUGAAAAACCGAGACGGUGAGCAGCGGAAAAGAAGGGGGAACAGCCCUGUUUCUGGAGCCUGAUUUCUCGCCUGGACAGAAAAAUACAAAACAAAACACUAAUCCAAAUGAACCCUAAAAAUGAAGGAUCGGUAGAGCACAGCACUUUCAGUACGGACGAUGGACUCCGGAAGGAACAUUCCCCAAGGCACCCGCCGCACAGAAUUCACCUUUGGGUUUUGAACUGUUUUAUUUUAUUUUUUGUUUUUUGUUUCAUGCUGCUAAAUAACAGAGCCAGGAAGACUAUAGGGGUGUAUUUGAUGGGUUUUCCCAUGCAUACAUAUAUAUGUGUGUAUACAUGCAUAUACAUAUAUAUAUAUGUAUAUAUAUUUUAACCACAUCUAUAUAUACAUAUAUGUAUAUCUUAACCACACACACACACACACACAUAUAUAUAUAAUAUAUAUAUAUAUAUAUAUAUAUACUGAUUAUUUUUUUUAACAUUGCUAAUGUUAUUGGUGUCUUCACUGGAUAAUACUCGACUGCUGUGGACACAAGCGGGCUACUUGGGGCAUAAGAAACAAGCUAAGACUGGACUUGAUAGAAGCGCUGGGUGUAAACUUCUUAACUCUAACUGACCUGUGCGGCCUCCGCUGUUUCUCUGUAGAGUGUGCUGUACCACAAACCACCUUCUCCUUGCCUGGGACAGGGAGGAGAGGUGACGGAGAGGAUGGGCAGGGAGUUCCAAAGAGCGGCAUCCUAGGGUGCGAUGGGUCAAAGGCCAAGGAAAUGGCCGUCUGCGUGAUCAAGGAUUCCUCCUCCCCUCUCUUCCCCCAACAUUCGCCCUUACUCGUCUCAUAACCUGCCUGCCUUGCUGGGACAUGGGAUGUCAGUGUACAUUUUGCGUUGACUUUAUUCGCUAUAGAAACUUUGCCAGAGAGACGUGCUGGCUUCUCUUAAGGAUGGUGGGCAGCUGAUGCGCACUAACUUUCCCUUCAAGAAAGUAUCACAGGAGUCUAGAUUUCCCGCCCUUGGUGGCUGCAAAAGGACACAAGGCCUGCAGUGUGAUGAAGCAAGAAUGGGGACCGGUGCCUAGCCACACAAUUGUUCAGCACUGUCUGCUUUCUUCAUGCACAGAGCUGCCACUCAAGAGCAUCCAAGAUGCUUACGGAACAUUUCUGGAAAGGGAUAUUAAUCAAAAGUAUAUACACAGUAGGGGUGUGUGUGUGUGUAGGUGAAUGUGUGCAUUUGUGUCUGUGUGCGUGUAUGUUUGUGUUUUUCUCUCUUUUUUUAUAUAUAUAUAUUUAUUUUUAUACAUAUAUAUAUAUAAAAAAUAAUAUAUAUGUAUGCCAAGAUGGAAGGGGGGACAAAGAAAGCAAUUUUUGCUGCCUUCCGUUUGCACGUCCAGUAUGAAUGACCGUUGGGAACGUCAAGGUUUUCUUGAUAACGUAGUGUAAAGGCCAGGCUCCUUUUCCACCUCUUGGCCUGGGAAUCAAACGUGAAGGCAGCCGGAAUCCCUAAGGCAUGUCUGAAAAUCUUGGCUAUGUGUGUAUCUGCAAUAUACUCUGCGGUGUAUGUGGAACCCACCUUACCCACGCGCACACACACACACACCCCUGAAAGCGUGUUUGUACAUCUAUGUGGAUAUAUAUAAUCUAGUUCUGUGAUUAAAAUUAUUAAUAAUAAUAAUAAUAAUCAAAAAGGUACUCGGUCUGUGUCAGAAAUCUGCCAAACAUCAUCUGCAAUUGAAUUUUCAACGCCUGAUAAUGUACAACACGGAAAGCUUCCAAAAAAGACAAGACAGUCUAAAAACAGACUCACAGCAAGUGACUACUAACCACUAGGAACUCCCCAUCUGAGUGAUGACUUUCAGGAGAACACACGGGUGGGUGCUUGCAUCUGCAAUGUAUAAUACUCAUGCUGCAUCGUGCGCAAGACAGAGGCUUCCGAUGGGGGGGAGGGAAGAGAAAGUGUUUUAUAUACUUAUUUAAUAUCCCUUUUUAAAUUAGAAAUUAAACAGAUAAUUUAAUUAAAGAGUAGGGAUUUUUCAGUAUUCUUUGUUAAUAUUUAAUUUGAACUAUUUAUAAGCCGUACCUCUUUUUUUUUUUUCUUUUUUUCUUUUUUUUUUCCUUUUUUUUUUUUUUUUUUUUUUAUUUGUACUGGUUGUGUAUAAAUUUAACUUUCCUGUUGUCCCAUCCCAUCUCUCCCCAAUUGUUGGCAGAGUCAGUAGCAUGUUAUGGGCAGUUAUUUAAUUAAUUUCUCUAACACCUACCCCUACACAUUCCUAUUGAGACAAGGGUUAGAUAUACAUCUACAUACUAUAUAUAUAUUUGGCUAUGUGUUUGUAUAUAUAUAUAUAUGUUUAUGUAUAUGUGUGAUUCGGAUGAAAUAGACGCUACGAUUUUUUUAUAUAUGUAAAAAGAAGAGACAGGAAAAAUAGAAAAUUCUACAUCUUGAAUCUCUCUCCUUUUUAAUUUUAAUAUUUGUUAUCAUUUUAUUUAUUGGUGCUACUGUUUAUCUGUAAUAAUUGCGGGGAAAAAAGAUAUUAACACUACAUAUUGUGUCUAGUGAGUUUUUUCAAGAUAUUCCUUAGUACAUAUUUAUUUUUAAACAAAGAAAUUACAGAUAUAUCUUAAAAAACCGACGACGACGACGACAAACAAACUUUUUUUUUGUAUUAAAGAAUUUAAUUCUGA